GACGAACGCUGGCGGCGCGCUUAACACAUGCAAGUCGAGCGAUGAAACUUUAACAGAACCCUUCGGGGCGAAGAUAAAGUGGAUUAGCGGCGGACGGGUAAGUAACCCGUAAGUAACCUGCCUUAGACAUUGGUAUAGCCUCGGGAAACCGGGAUUAAUACCAAAUAAAAUCAUAAUGACACAUUUAAUAACGAUCAAAACUCCGGUGGUCUAAGAUGGACUCGCGUCCCAUUAGCUAGGUGGUAGAGUAAAAGCCUACCAAGGCGACGAUGGGUAGCCGGCCUGAGAGAGUGAAAGGCCACAUUGGAAAUGCGACCCGGUCCCAACUCCUACGGGAGGCAGCAGUGGGGAAUAUUGCACAAUGGAGCGAACUCUGAUGCAGCGACGCCGCGUGAACGAAGAAGGGUUUCGAGUAGUAAAGUUCUUUUAUAUGGGAAGAUAAUGACGGUAACAGAAGAAAAAGCCCCGGCUAACUACGUG
rnacentral:rRNA from 1 species